AUACGGAGGGUGCAAGCGUUACUCGGAAUCACUGGGCGUAAAGGACGCGUAGGCGGGUUGGUAAGUCAGGUGUGAAAUCCUACAGCUUAACUGUAGAACUGCACUUGAAACUACCAACCUAGAGUAUGGGAGGGGGAGAUGGAAUUAGUGGUGUAGGGGUAAAAUCCGUAGAUAUCACUAGGAAUACCGAAAGCGAAGGCGAUCUCCUGGAACAUAACUGACGCUAAGGCGUGAAAGCGAGGGGAGCAAACAGGAUUAGAUACCCUAGUAGUCC
rnacentral:rRNA from 1 species